rnacentral:rRNA from 1 species
AGUGAACGCUGGCGGCGUGCCUAAUACAUGCAAGUCGAGCGAACAGAUAAGAAGCUUGCUCCCUUACCGUUAGCGAGUGACGGGCGAGUAACACAUAGAUCGCCAUCUACUUUUUCGUGGGUGACAACGUAAAGAAGCUUCUGCUACUACCUCAUACGUCCUACGGGUGGAUGUAGUGGAUCUGCGGACUUUUCCCGAUUCAAUUAGCCGGUGCCGCAUUAGCUAGUUGGUUAGGUAAAGGCCCACCAAGGCGACGAUCCGUAGCCGGCCUGAGAGGAUGAUCAGCCACACUGGAACUGAGACACGGUCCAGACUCCUACGGGAGGCAGCAGUGGGGAAUCUUCCACAAUGGGCGAAAGCCUGACGGAGCAAUGCCGCGUGAGUGAUGAAGGUCUUCGGGUCGUAAAACCCUUUUAUUAGGAAAGAACAAAAGUGGAAGAAACUAUCCACGUUUUGACGGUACCUAAAGAGAAAGCAACGGCUAACUUCGUG